rnacentral:rRNA from 1 species
CAAUUGGAAUGAGAACAAUUUAAAUCCCUUAUCGAGGAUCAAUUGGAGGGCAAGUCUGGUGCCAGCAGCCGCGGUAAUUCCAGCUCCAAUAGCGUAUAUUAAAGUUGUUGCAGUUAAAAAGCUCGUAGUUGGACCUCUGGUGGGAGCGAUCGGUCCGACGCUCUGCGUGGGUACUUGUAUCGUCUCCGGCCAUCCUUGGGAAGAGCCUGUCUGGCAUUAGGUUGUCGGGCAGGGGAUUCCCAUCGUUUACUGUGAAAAAAUUAGAGUGUUCAAAGCAGGCUUAUGCCGUUGAAUAUAUUAGCAUGGGAUAAUAAGAUAGGGCCUUGGUACUAUUUUGUUGGUUUGCGUACCAGAGUAAUGACGAAUAGGGACAGUUGGGGGUAUUCGUAUUCAGUUGUCAGAGGUGAAAUUCUUAGAUUUAUUGAAGACGAACUACUGCGAAAGCAUUUACCAAGGAUGUUUUCAUUAAUCAAGAACGAAAGUAUGGGGAUCGAAGAUGAUUAGAUACCAUCGUAGUCUAUACCAUAAACUAUGCCGACUCAGGAUGGGCAAGCGUUUAC